GGACUGUUUUAGCCUUAAGAAAACAUUUGGAGGAAGAAGCUCGUGAUCUUAGUGGAGAAGCAUUUUCGCGCUUUAUGGAUCAGUUAUAUGAACGAAUUUCUAGUCUUCUGGAAAGUAACGAAGUUGCUGAAAAUUUGGGAGCUUUAAGAGCUAUUGGCGAGUUGAUAGAUGUGGCACUUGGGGAGAAUGCCUCUAAGGUCUCUAAGUUUUCUAUUUACAUGCGGAAUGUGUUUGAGGUAAAGAGGGAUCGUGAUGUAUUGACCCUUGCUAGUAGAGUUCUUGGACACUUGGCCAGGG
rnacentral:misc_RNA from 1 species